rnacentral:rRNA from 1 species
UGCCAGCAGCCGCGGUAAUACGAAGGGACCUAGCGUAGUUCGGAAUUACUGGGCUUAAAGAGUUCGUAGGUGGUUGAAAAAGUUGGUGGUGAAAUCCCAGAGCUUAACUCUGGAACUGCCAUCAAAACUUUUCAGCUAGAGUAUGAUAGAGGAAAGCAGAAUUUCUAGUGUAGAGGUGAAAUUCGUAGAUAUUAGAAAGAAUACCAAUUGCGAAGGCAGCUUUCUGGAUCAUUACUGACGCUGAGGAACGUAAGCUAGGGGAGCAAACAGGAUUAGAUA